GUGACCGUUUCCAUUUUCCCUGUCAUUUUCCUCAUCAUCUCAUGCAGACUGCUUGGCCAGAAGUGGUGACGAAGGACAAAUUUAAGGUGACAUGCUGCAGAUCCACCUGGCAAACCACACAGUCUGGGCCUGACAUGAAGCUGACUCAACAGUGUCCCAACAGCUGAUGUAAUGCUGGCCUGCUGCAGAAUGUGUUUGCA